rnacentral:rRNA from 1 species
AGCAGCCGCGGUAAUUCCAGCUCCAAUAGCGUAUAUUAAAGUUGUUGCAGUUAAAAAGCUCGUAGUUGAAUUUCGGGAUUGGCACAUCGGUCGUGCCUUAAGGGGUAUGAACUGGUGUAGUCAAUUUCUCACCUUCUGGAGAACCGCGAUGCCCUUAAUUGGGUGUCGCGGGGAACCAGGACCUUUACUUUGAAAAAAUUAGAGUGUUUAAAGCAGGCAUUUUGCUUGAAUACAUUAGCAUGGAAUAAUAAAAUAGGACGGCAUGAUUCUAUUUUGUUGGUUUCUAGGAUCACCGUAAUGAUUAAUAGGGAUAGUUGGGGGCAUUAGUAUUCAAUUGUCAGAGGUGAAAUUCUUGGAUUUAUUGAAGACUAACUACUGCGAAAGCAUUUGCCAAGGAUGUUUUCAUUAAUUCAAGAACGAAAGUUAGGGGAUCGAAGACGAUCAGAUACCGUCGUAGCCUUAACCAUAAACUAUGCCGACUAGGAAUCAGACGAUGUUAAUUUUUAAUGUACUCGUUUGG